rnacentral:rRNA from 1 species
UAGACCCGAAACCCGGUGAUCUAGCCAUGGGCAGGUUGAAGGUUGGGUAACACUAACUGGAGGACCGAACCGACUAAUGUUGAAAAAUUAGCGGAUGACUUGUGGCUGGGGGUGAAAGGCCAAUCAAACCGGGAGAUAGCUGGUUCUCCCCGAAAGCUAUUUAGGUAGCGCCUCGUGAAUUCAUCUCCGGGGGUAGAGCACUGUUUCGGCAAGGGGGUCAUCCCGACUUACCAACCCGAUGCAAACUGCGAAUACCGGAGAAUGUUAUCACGGGAGACACACGGCGGGUGCUAACGUCCGUCGUGAAGAGGGAAACAACCCAGACCGCCAGCUAAGGUCCCAAAGUCAUGGUUAAGUGGGAAACGAUGUGGGAAGGCCCAGACAGCCAGGAUGUUGGCUUAGAAGCAGCCAUCAUUUAAAGAAAGCGUAAUAGCUCACUGGUCGAGUCGGCCUGCGCGGAAGAUGUAACGGGGCUAAACCAUGCAC